AACGAACGCUGGCGGCGUGUCUUAAGCAUGCAAGUCGUGCGGCAAGGGUAGCAAUACCCCCAGAGCGGCGGACUGGUGAGUAACGCGUGGGUGAUCUACCCUUGGGAUGGGGAUAGCCACUAGAAAUAGUGGGUAAUACCGAAUACGUUCCCCCGAUUUUGAUUGGGGGAGGAAAAGCGCUUCGGCGCUGCCCGAGGAUGAGCCCGCGUCCCAUUAGCUAGUUGGUGAGGUAACGGCCCACCAAGGCGAUGAUGGGUAGGCGGCCUGAGAGGGUGUACGCCCACACUGGGACUGAGAUACGGCCCAGACUCCUACGGGAGGCAGCAGCUAAGAAUAUUCCGCAAUGGACGAAAGUCUGACGGAGCGACGCCGCGUGGAUGACGAAGGCCGAAAGGUUGUAAAGUCCUUUUGUUGGGGAAGAAUAAGCGCGGGAGGGAAUGCCCGCGUGAUGACAUGAACCGACGAAUAAGCCCCGGCUAACUACGUGCCAGCCGCCGCAGUAA
rnacentral:rRNA from 1 species